AGCUCCAUUAGCGUAUAUUAAAGUUGUUGCAGUUAAAAAGCUCGUAGUUGAAGUGUGGGUAAAGGGAAAUCUUUUUGAGGACACUUUACUCUUUUUGAUGGGGGCGAUUGUUGUUUAGUCAAUGAUCUAGGCCAUUGAUUUUACUUUGAAAAAAUUAGAGUGUUUAAAGCAGGGGUAGCCUGAAUAGAUUAGCAUGGAAUAAUAGAAUAGGACUGUGGUUCUAUUUUGUUGGUUUCUAGGACCAGAGUAAUGAUUAAUAGGGACAGUUGGGGGCAUUAGUAUUUAAUAGUCAGAGGUGAAAUUCUUGGAUUUAUUAAAGACUGACUUCUGCGAAAGCAUCUGCCCAGGAUGUUUUCA
rnacentral:rRNA from 1 species